rnacentral:rRNA from 1 species
CCUGCAUGAAGUUGGAAUUGCUAGUAAUCGCGGAUCAGCAUGCCGCGGUGAAUACGUUCCCGGGGAUUGUACACACCGCCCGUCACACCAUGAGAGUCGGAACACCCAAAGUCCGUAGUCUAACCGCAAGGAGGACGCGGCCUAAGGUGGGUUCGAUAAUUGGGGUGAAGUCGUAACAAGGUAGC